rnacentral:lncRNA from 1 species
GAACAUGAUGGAAAGGAACGGUAGUAUGAGUACAGUGCCCCAGAAAUACACAAAGUCAGCUGUGGUUGUCAAGAUGGCGCAAUGGCCUUUCUUUGGUCCAGCUCAUCAGAGCCCUGGGGGAACUGCCACCGGCAGACCGAGGAGAGUUUGUACAUAAGGAGAGGGAUGAGCCGAGAGACAGACCCUGGGCAGGGGAGGAGCUGAGAGCCAAAGGCCAGACACCACUCAGUCCUCACCAGUUGGCAUACUGGACCACGCUGUGUCCAAACCCAGCACUGUCCACACGGAAAAUUGUCGGCUGGUCUGUGUCCAAGUUGAAGCAGAGAGAGGAAGCUAGCGCUGGAGAGGAGGGCGAGAGGACAAGCUUCGGAGAAGAGUCUUCCUCCUGCUCCAUUCCCCCCCAGUCCCCAGCCACCCCCAUCUCCCACCAGCUCUCCCCUCCAGGCACAACACCCCACCAUCUCCUGGUCUUCCAGACCCUCAGGCUCAAGCUUGCCAGCCCUGCUUCUCUCCCUCCCUUAAUCCAGAGAUAGCUCUUCACCAACCAGCCUUUCAGCAGGUUUCAGUUCUCCAUUUCCACAGAGCAACAGCCAAGCUCCAAAGACACUCCUUCCCCACCCCUACACCUGGGCUCCUAUGAGAAGGACUCCAGGAAAACUUGGGGCCAAAGGGAUGCUGUGGAUGGGUUGACUUAUUCUGCCUGCUUGAGAAACCUCUGGAUUGUGCCGGCACCUAGCCUCUCUUCCAGCAUCUUUGAACACCCCCCAAAUAGAUUCCUCAGUAUCUUCUCAACCUCCUUGAACUUCAGAUCCCAACCCGAGAUAACUCAAGAUCCCUCCCUUAAUUGCUGAGUGCAAAACGCGUGUCCUCAGCCCUCUCUCUCUCUGCACCCCCAUCCCCUCCUCCCCCUUCAUGGAGAUCCCCGGCUUACCCAGCACCAGGAGGAGGCCGAUCCUGGUUCCCAUCAUGAUUGGAAGGUCAGAUGUGGGCAUCAGGGUGCCUGAGCCACCAGGAGAAGAGCUGGACCAAGGUACCAAGGAAGCAAACGUGGGUUCCGCGCCUGAUGGCUGGACGAGGUCAGGAUACUGGAGGGGGAAGACUCCAUCUCUUCUCUGAAGCCACUCAACAGACUUCCAGGAUGCUUCGGAGCAAAGCCAAGGUAAGACCCCUUGCCUUGAGCAAGGAUAACUUGGAUCAUAAAAGUGCAGAGCAGGAUGUGUCCUUAGGUCAACCCACCCAUUUUACAGAUGAAGGCACUGAGGCUCCAGCUGAGACCUUAGGGUGUCUGGGACUCAUCGCCCCACUGCCAUGAAUCAUGACUUUGACAUUUCCAGAAGAAGGAUGGCAACCCAGGGGGAUGUUAUAAGGCUGUAAGCAAGGAAGGGCCGGACACCCAAGUUACUCAUCUCCUCAACCCAGCACGGUUACGAGUCAGUCACAUGCAGCUUUGUCCACCUGCACCCCCCACCCCCACCCCUCCCCGGCUGUUCAGAGCCCUGGCCAAGCCUGUGGCAAGAGGUCAAGGGCAGAGGAGGGUCUGCAGUGGUUUGGAGAAACAGUCAGCUUUUCCCACUGCUGGCAUUCCUGCCUCAGUAAGUUUCUGCUCUGUCCCUGAGCCCCAAGGUGCUAAAUGAAGAAGAUUCCAGAAGGAUGGUGGAGCAGGAGGGGCUACAUCUGAUCUGCCUCAUCCUGGGGGCGGGUGGGCAGGGGGUGGGCUGGUAGAGAAACCAGGACAAAAGCUGCAUUAAUCCAGAUCUGACUUGCCUGAGCUCAGUGGAAAUGAGUAAUUUGUGGUGUGUCUCCCGAGAUGUUUCUUUUCCUUGGGAAGAAGACAAUAGGAAUCUACUGGGCAGAAACCCCCAGACAUCUCGAUGCCUUUCGACCCCAGGCUCACCCACAGGGCCUGCCUGGAGGUCCUCUUAGAAAGCUUCUUGCUGCAAGCCAUCUGUCUCACUUCUCUAUCUUCAGAGGACAAUGUCCUACCUCGCCCUCAAGAAUUUUCUCAAAACAGAAUUUACUGUAAUUCCACGGCACAGAAACACACGGGCAUAGGGACGAAGGAAGGUGCUUCUCUCCAAAAGCAGCGGAAGCUUUCUAUUCUCCUAGAUCCCUUGUGUAACAGAUGAUUUGGGAUCACUAGAGGAUUUUAGCCAAUGCUUGGGAAGUUUGAGACAUGAAAGGGAGAAGCAGGCAUAAGGUAAUAACAUCUGGAUAGCAGAACAAAGGAGCUGUGAUGAUCCUAAUAUUUAUAUGCUGUGCACUUUAUUUUUCCCAGUUUUAUUGAGGCAUAAUUGACACACGGCACUGUGUCA